GGUGCAAAUGAUGGUAACAGCGAUCAAAGUAUGAUAUCUCAUGAUUCCAUCCUUAUAAACCACUGAUGCACC
ensembl:snoRNA